rnacentral:rRNA from 1 species
UACGUAGGGCGCAAGCGUUGUCCGGAAUUAUUGGGCGUAAAGAGCUCGUAGGCGGUUUGUCGCGUCUGCUGUGAAAACCUAAGGCUCAACCUUGGGCUUGCAGUGGGGUACGGGCAGACUAGAGUGCGGUAGGGGUGACUGGAAUUCCUGGUGUAGCGGUGGAAUGCGCAGAUAUCAGGAGGAACACCGAUGGCGAAGGCAGGUCACUGGGCCGUAACUGACGCUGGAGGAAGCGAAAGCGUGGGGAGCGAACAGG